rnacentral:rRNA from 1 species
UACGAAGGGGGCUAGCGUUGUUCGGAAUUACUGGGCGUAAAGCACACGUAGGCGGAUAUUUAAGUCAGGGGUGAAAUCCCGGGGCUCAACCCCGGAACUGCCUUCGAUACUGCAAAUCUCGAGUCCGGAAGAGGUGAGUGGAAUUCCUAGUGUAGAGGUGAAAUUCGUAGAUAUCAAGCGGAACACCGGUGGCGAAGGCGGCCUUCUGGACAGUGACUGACGCUGAGACGCGAAAGCGUGGGGAGCAAACAGG